UACCAAAUGUAUUGGGAGUUGU
rnacentral:siRNA from 1 species